GGGGAAUAUUGCGCAAUGGACGAAAGUCUGACGCAGCAACGCCGCGUGAGUGAAGAAGGCCCUUGGGUUGUAAAGCUCUGUCGGAUGGGACGAAAACCCCGGUGGUUAAUAGCUAUCGGGCUUGACGGUACCAUUAAAGGAAGCACCGGCUAACUCCGUGCCAGCAGCCGCGGUAAUACGGAGGGUGCAAGCGUUGCUCGGAAUUACUGGGCGUAAAGCGGAAGUAGGUGGUCUUAUCAGUCUAGGGUGAAAUCCCUGAGCUUAACUCAGGACGUGCCUUGGAUACGUUAGGACUAGAGUUUCGGAGAGGUUAUCGGAAUUCCCGGUGUAGCGGUGAAAUGCGUAGAGAUCGGGAGGAACACCAGCGGCGAAAGCGGAUAACUGGACGAAUACUGACACUCAAUUCCGAAAGCAUGGGGAGCAAAC
rnacentral:rRNA from 1 species